rnacentral:rRNA from 1 species
AUUGAACGCUGGCGGCAGGCCUAACACAUGCAAGUCGAACGAGUGGCGGACGGGGGAGUCAUGUCUGGGAAACUGCCUGCUGGAGGGGGAUAACUACUGGGAACAGUACCUCAUACCGCAUACCCUCGGGUGUACCCAGAUGGGAUUAGCUAGUAGGUGGGGUAAAGGCUCACCUAGGCGACGAUCCCUCGCUGGUCUGAGAGGAUGACCAGCCACACUGGAACUGAGACACGGUCCAGACUCUUACGGGAGGCAGCAGUGGGGAAUAUUGCACAAUGGGCGAAAGCCUGAUGCAGCCAUGCCGCGUGUAUGAAGAAGGCCUUCGGGUUGUAAAGUACUUUCAGCGGGGAGGCGUUACCCGCAGAAGAAGCACCGGCUAACUCCGUGCCAGCCGCCGCGGUAAUAC